UGAUUUUUUUAAAAAAAUCAAUUUGUCUGAGGCCAAUAUUGACAGAAUUAAGCUUGGCUGUAUUGAAUACAUCAUUAUUGAUAAAAUAUAUAUAAAAAAAGACUUCUUCAAAAAUCUAUAAGCAAAGAUACAAACACCCUCGCUUAGAUCAUUAUUCAUAAUGUCAGUUUUUCAUUGUUCAUCUGAUAUAUAUUUUUUUUCAAAUACCAAUGUCAGUUUAGUUGUCUUGCAAUUUGCAACCUUUCAUAAAAAAAUUAGGAAAUGCAGAACUAGAUAUUUCUACUAAAAGAUGAUAUGUACCAAACGUAUCUUUUCAAAUAUUAAAUUUAUUUUAUAAAGGCCAAAUAUAUGUGUAUAUAUAUAUAUUUGAAAUUUUAAAAGUUGAUGUGGUAUUUCGCUUAAAAUAUGUGUAUUACUAAAUUGAUAUAUUUUAAAAAGUAGAGUGACUGUUUGGAGUAUUACUCCUUUAAUAAAUCAUAUUUUACUGUUUUUAUUCUAUCUUCCAAAACAUUCUAACAUGUCAACAAACACACAAAAUAAACAUAUUAAAUAGACUAUUUAAAAGAGUUUUUCCGGCGAUUUGCGACAGCUUGAGAGAAGAGAGAGUGUGCGGUGAAGACUUGGAAUUUGGAAAAGACAAGAAAGAAUAGAAGUGUGGCGAUGGUAGACCCUAAGAUUUAAGUUUUUCUUAUAUUGUCCAUUUUAUUUAUUUUUAUUUAAAUUUUUAAAUAUAAAUUAGAAGUGGGCUGCAAGCUGGCUGGCCCCAAUAUGCAACUUGUCCCACUCACCUACGGUCCACCUCGGAUGAUUCGUUGAGGCCUGUCUCCAAAUGGGCCUAUGAAAAGUCAGCUCAAUCCAUUUAUUUUAAUUGACCGGGUGGGUCAGCUCGAUGAACUAAACCUGAAUUGACAUCUCUAUUUGCCAGUGAUGAAGUGGAAGAAAAACUUGAAACAACUGAUUAAUGCACCAUGAUAGUAGUUUCCAAUUGUUUGUGGGUGAUGGAGUAGAAGAAGAAUUUGUAUUGGCUGAUCAAUGUAUCACCAGUGAUGAUGAUGACUGAUGAGGAUGAUGACAGUUUUCAAUUAUUUGCUGGCGAUGGAGUGCAAGAAGAAUAUGAAUCUGGUGAUCAAUGUAUCGACAGUGUUGAUAAUGGUAGUAGCUUUCAAUUAUUUGCUGCUGCUGCUGAUGGAGUAGAAGAACUUGAAUCUGCUGAUCAAUGAAGAGGAACAGGGGCAAACCCACUAGAGAUCCAGGGAUGUGUACAUGCCUCGGUAGAAUAAGUGGGGACGGAACAGUGCUCAUGUGGGCGCUAGAACCAUCCAUACACAACCACUAUUUACAAUUCCCAGAAAUGUGUCCUCAGCCGAGAAUCAAAUUUCUCACUCAUUCGGUGAAAAUUUUAUCGGUGACCCGUGCACCAAUAAACCCGAAGGUCGUUGGCAAUAAUGAUGACAUUGUUGGUGGCUUUCAUCUAUUUGAUGGAGUU